rnacentral:rRNA from 1 species
UACGUAGGGCGCAAGCGUUGUCCGGAAUUACUGGGCGUAAAGAGCUCGUAGGUGGUUUGUCGCGUUGUUCGUGAAAUCUCACGGCUUAACUGUGAGCGUGCGGGCGAUACGGGCAGACUAGAGUACUGCAGGGGAGACUGGAAUUCCUGGUGUAGCGGUGGAAUGCGCAGAUAUCAGGAGGAACACCGGUGGCGAAGGCGGGUCUCUGGGCAGUAACUGACGCUGAGGAGCGAAAGCGUGGGGAGCGAACAGG